rnacentral:rRNA from 1 species
AUGGCUUCCUCAUCCGUGCUGCUCGGAGGAGGCGCGGGCGCCGCCGCCUUCACCGGCGCCGCCGCCGGCAAGGCUCUUCCCAGGCCGUGCUUCCUCGCCGCUCGUCCCCACACCGUCAGCGGCGGCCGCCUCUGCCUGCAAACCCCUCCUAGGGCGACUCCCGCUAACGACGCCGUCGAGACCGUGAAGGGGGCGGCCGGGGAGGCCGGAGACAAGGCCUCGGAAGGGGCGGACAGCGUGUCGAAGGCGGCGGGCGACGCGGCGGGCAAGGUUCAGGAGGCGGUGGAGGGCGCGGUGGAGGGAGCCAAGGACCUCGGCGAGAAGGCCAAGCAGGCGACGGAGGAGGCGUGGGACGCCACCAAAGACGCCGCGCAGGGCGUCGCCGACGACGUCACCGCCGCGGUUGAGGAUGUGAGCAAAUGA